CUGCUGGAACUGGAGGAUUUUCUUGAUUGCUCAGAGUGGAGCGCAGAGGUGCCGCCAAAGAGCAUGACGCUUUCUCUCUGCACCCUCCGCCCUUCGGAAACAUCGAUUUGCUGCUUUCUUCUUGCGCACCCCUCGCGGGAUGACUGCAAACCUAAAGAAAAACGGAGUGUCCUGUAUGCCACAUGGAGCUCGAGGAAAGGAAAUGAUUAAAGCUGUGGAGCUUCCUGGCUCUUCGCGGCGUUUACGCUCUCUGCCAUGGCCUGGGAAAGCAGUGGAAGAUGGCCCAAGUGCUUGGACUCCUGCAUCUGCAUGGGACACCCUGAAGAAGCUCCUGGCUCCUGGCUUUGGAUCGGCACAGCUCUGGCCAUUGCGACCAUUUGGGAGGUGAACCAGUGGAUGGAAGACCUUUCUCUCUGUAACUCUACCUCUCAAAUAAAUAAGAAAGCACUAGAAGAUGGCACAAGUCCUUGGGCCCUUGCACCCGCAUGAGAGACCAGGAGGAAGCUCCUGGCUUCGGAUCGGCACAUCUCCGGCCGUUGCAGCCAAUUGGGGAAUGAACCAUCGAAUGGAAGACCUCUCUCCCUCUGCCUCUGCCUCUCUGUAAU